rnacentral:siRNA from 1 species
CGAAGUUUAUGGUAGAAAUUUCAG